ACCAGGUCAGGACACGGUAAGGAUUGACGGACUGAAGGCUCUUUCUCGAUUCCGUGGAAAGUGGUGCAUGGCCGUUUUUGGUUGGUGGAUCGAUCCGUCUGGUUAAUUCCGUUAACGAACGAGACCUCGGCACUCCGAAUAGCGCGGCGGACGUCGCGGCCUCCGGGCCGUCUUCCGCACGAGCUUCUUAGAGGGACCGUCCCCCGCCGGGGGAAGGAGGUGCGAGGCAACGACAGGUCUGUGAUGCCCUUAGAUGUUCUGGGCCGCACGCGCAUUACACUGACGCGUCCAACGGGUGACUCCCGACCCGAAGGGGCCGGGGAAUCCGCAAGGCGCGUCGUGAUGGGGAUUGAACGUUGCAAUUGUUGUUCACGAACGAGGAAUUCCUAGUAGGCGCGGGUCAUCAACCCGCGCCGAUUACGUCCCUGCCCUUUGUACACACC
rnacentral:rRNA from 1 species